AUUUUAUGAUGGGGACAGCUUGCACACAGCUUCUUAAAUCUCUCCCAGUAUUCAUACAAGCUCUCUCCAUUGUACUCCCAAAUGCCACAAAUUUCUUUUCUUAUGUU